rnacentral:SRP_RNA from 14 species
GGGGCAGCGGGUCGUUGCGCGAGGCCUCGUACUCCGGCAGCAGCGGGCCACCCUUGUCGAAGGGAAUGAGCUCCUCGUCGGGCAAGUAGCUAUUCCCACAAGGGCAGAAGCCCAGCGAGGCCCAGAAGGGAGCCGCGCGGCC